UUUUUUAUUUUUAAAGGCUUUUAGCGAUCUUUGGACUUACAAGGAAAAUUGACUUACCCACUAGAAAUUAAAUAUUUUUUUCUUGUUGCUGAUCUCUAGAUGUGAAAUCUAGUGAGCAGUGAGGAGCCCAAUACCAAGAAGGGUUUCUGCAUUGUGGAUUCUUCUGUGUUGAACUGUCAUGUGACUUAUUUAGCUUUGGAAGCUCUAUUGGCAUUGCUGAAGUCAACCAGCUGGGACUCACAUAAGACGAGACCUUAGGCAGCAUGUAUUUCUGAAGGCAAAAUAUCAAGAUAAAUUCAACUCUGGGGCCCCUAGGAAAUCAAGAUUUGCAACACCUUUCCAGAGCCAACUUCAACAAACUCAAAUUUAUGUAUUUCCUUAAGCAGUUGUGUGUUUUAAUCCUGUAAUUAUUUUUCUUUUCCCUUAUAUAAAAAGAAAUUUAAAAACUUGAA